UUUUUUUUUUUUUGUUAUUUAAAAAAUAAUUGUACAUAUUAAACUAUGUGAUAAUCUCACAUAAUUCAGAAACUAAUUUGGUAUUAUCUAUGUACAUUAUACAUAAUAAUUUUAUUAUGUUAAUUUGAUUCGUCUAACAUAUAGUAUUUUUAUUGAUGAUAUUAAUUUUUAUUAUUAUUCGUGUUUUCGGUAAGAGACAUGUGGAUUCUAAAUAGAAGUCAAGGCCUAUCAGUGGGCCCAAACAACAUGGACUAGGCCGAGCCCAACACCAACCUAGCCUUCUGGGAAAGCAAUCACACUUCUCGCUUAGGCGAGCUUCUGCCAAGGUUACUCUGCAUCUGGAAGGAUCCUAGUUCCGUGUAUCUGGAAGAACUCUUUAGCAUGUAUCUAGAAGCUAGCCGUAGUUUCCCGUUUACCGUUACGUGCAAAAUAAGAAAAUCACUUUCCUUAAAUAUUGGACAAGAAUAAAUAUCAAGCUAAAAUACAAAAUUAAAGAUCAAAUAAUUAAUAUCGCAUUAAUUAUCCAUAAUCAAGAGAUACAGUAUGAAUAGCUAUGACUGUGAUCAACAUGCCAAGUCAACAUACAGCUACUGCCUCAUGGGCUAGACUUCACUUGAUAAGCACAAAGUGAUGUAUUACUUGUAAACUCUCCAUCAAUGGGAAAGGGUAACGAAGUAUGACCUCCACUACUCUAUAAAUACACAUUGAAUCCCUCAUACAAAAUGUUGAAAUUUUUUGCCUCACAAGCUCGAGAAGAGAAUAGAGUGCUCAUAAUAAUACAUACUCGUGGACUGAGACUCAUUAACGCUCCAACCACGUUGUAACACCCUAAUGCUUAACGUGCCGUGUGACAGUUAGUAGUCCCAUGAUCCGUAAGGGAAAAUACCGAGUAAGCUGUACAAUCCCACAUCGCCUGGGGAAGGUCAAGUGAGAUGAUUCAGAGACUGUGUAGGUAUGGGACUACACAGUUGAAGAGAGCUUAAAUGGAAGAAGUGUGCGAGUGAGGACAAGGCACGUUGGAAACACUCGUGUUGGUCUGUAGGGCCAGUCGUCAGUCUAGAAAGCAGCCAGAGUGACGUACUCGUGUAUAAGAGCCAUUCAUUCCGUGGGUGUAAGGGUCCAAUGGAAGCUUGAAGCAGGGACGUUACAUGCCGCUAUGAAACAUGUGGAUUCUAAAUAGAAGUCAAGACCUAUCAGUGGGCCCAAACAACAUGGACUAGGCCGAGCCCAACACCAACCUAGCCUUCUGGGAAAGCAAUCACACUUCUCGCUUAGGCGAGCUUCUGCCAAGGUUACUCUGCAUCUGGAAGGAUCCUAGUUCCGUGUAUCUGGAAGAACUCUUUAGCAUGUAUCUAGAAGCUAGCCGUAGUUUCCCGUUUACUGUUACGUGCAAAAUAAGAAAAUCACUUUCCUUAAAUAUUGGACAAGAAUAAAUAUCAAGCUAAAAUACAUAAUUAAAGAUCAAAUAAUUAAUAUCGCAUUAAUUAUCCAUAAUCAAGAGAUACAGUAUGAAUAGCUAUGACUGUGAUCAAAAUGCCAAGUCAACAUACAGCUACUGCCUCAUGGGCUAGACUUCACUUGAUAAGCACAAAGUGAUGUAUUACUUGUAAACUCCCCAUCAAUGGGAAAGGGUAACGAAGUAUGACCUCCACUACUCUAUAAAUACACAUUGAGUCCCUCAUACAAAAUGUUGAAAUUUUUUGCCUCACAAGCUCGAGAAGAGAAUAGAGUGCUCAUAAUAAUACAUACUCGUGGACUGAGACUCAUUAACGCUCCAACCACGUUGUAACGCCCUAAUGCUUAACGUGCCGUGUGACAGUUAGUAGUCCCGUGAUCCGUAAGGGAAAAUACCGAGUAAGCUGUACAAUCCCACAUCGCCUGGGGAAGGUCAAGUGGGAUGAUUCAGAGACUGUGUAGGUAUGGGAUUACACAGUUGAAGAGAGCUUAAAUGGAUUGAUUGGUACUACCUAUAUCAACAAGGUGCAUCUUGUUUUUCGGUAGCCCAUCUCGAAAGAACUCCACAGUUAAGUGUGCUUGGCUUGGAGCAAUUUCAGGAUGGGUGACCUCCUGGAAAGUUUUCUCAAGAAGUGUGCGAGUGAGGAAAAGCACGGUGGAAACACUCGUGUUGGUCUGUAGGGCCAGUCGUCAGUCCAGAAAGCAGCCAGAGUGACGUACUCGUGUAUAAGAGCCAUUCAUUCCGUGGGUGUAAGGGUCCAAUGGAAGCUUGAAGCGGGGACGUUACAUGCCGCUAUGAAGUAAGUUGUAUUGUGAUAAUAAAUGAGUUGUAUUGUAUUCCAACAAUAAUAGAUUCUCGACAAAGUCAAAACAUAUUGACAUCAAGUUCCUUGUUGGAAAAGAAAUGGUGCAGAUUGGACAAAUUUGUAUAAAAAACUUAGGUACAAAUUCCAUGGUUGCAGACUAUUUUACAAAGAUUUUGCCACCCAAGGUCUUUCAUGAGUACACUGUUUAUAUGGGUGUUUUAGAGUAUGAUAAUAUCUAGAUUCAAUGGGAGUUUUGUUGGGUUUUAUGCCCUAAAUAAAACUCUGUUUCAAUGUAAUCCAGAUUAUUCAAUAUUGAUUACAGUGCAAAAUUUACAUAUAUUUAUAUGUUAUUUGGCUGAAUAAAUACAAUUAAAUUAUUUAUUUUA